CAUAGCGACUAUCGUGGCAUAUCAAUAAGCGGAGGAAAAGAAACUAACAAGGAUUCCCUUAGUAACGGCGAGUGAAGCGGGAAGAGCUCAAAUUUGAAAUCUUCAAGGUUCUACCUUGACGAAUUGUAGUUUAUAGAAGUGUUUUCUGUUAGGGAGUUUGGUAAAAGUUCUUUGGAAUAGGACAUCAUAGAGGGUGAGAAUCCCGUAUUUGGACCAUUAUUUCCUAGCGUUGUGAUACACUUUCAAAGAGUCGGAUUGUUUGGGAAUGCAGUCCAAAAUGGGUGGUAAAUUUCAUCUAAAGCUAAAUACUGGCGAGAAACCGAUAGCGAACAAGUACCGUGAGGGAAAGAUGAAAAGAACUUUGAAAAGAGAGUUAAACAGUACGUGAAAUUGUCAAAAGGGAAGCGUUUGACACCAGUGUUGUUUUUCCGAAAAUCAAUUACGAAUGUUUUGUUUUUGAGAGAGUUAUGACUUCAUCGGCUUGCUCCUUUCUUUACGAAACUUUCUUAAUGCACUUUUCGGUUAACAAGUCAACAUCAAUUUCUUUUGUUGUAAAAGGGUACGAGGAAGGUGGCUUUCUUUUCGGAGAAAGUGUUUAUAGCCUUGUAGCCUCUGCAAUCGGAGAGAUUGAGGUCUGCAGCGUAGAUCCUUCGGGGUUAGAUACGUUUGUGCUAAGUUAUAGCUUUUCAUAGACAACUUGUUGACUAUGUUUAGUCUUGUAGCUUACUCGCUGCAUGCUAUUUUACCUACGCUUAGGAUGUUGACGAGACUGUCGAUCUC
rnacentral:rRNA from 1 species